AUCCAGCUGACGAGUUCCAAAUAAGACGAAACGCGCAUCCUGGAU
rfam:Schistosoma rodhaini strain Burundi genome assembly, scaffold: SROB_scaffold0000846